rnacentral:rRNA from 1 species
UGCGGAGGAAAAGAAACUAACAAGGAUUCCCCUAGUAACGGCGAGUGAAGCGGGAAGAGCUCAAAUUUGUAAUCUGGCCCUUUCAGGGUCCGAGUUGUAAUCUCGAGAAGUGUUUUCCGCGCCGGACUGCAUACAAGUCUGUUGGAAUACAGCGUCAUAGUGGUGAGAGCCCCGUAACUGAUGCAGAUGCCCGGUGCUUUGUGAUACACUUUCGAAGAGUCGAGUUGUUUGGGAAUGCAGCUCAAAUUGGGUGGUAAAUUCCAUCUAAAGCUAAAUAUUGGCGAGAGACCGAUAGCGAACAAGUACCGUGAGGGAAAGAUGAAAAGCACUUUGGAAAGAGAGUUAACAGUACGUGAAAUUGUUGGAAGGGAAACGCUUGAAGUCAGACUUGCUAUUCGGAAUUCAGCCGCAAGGUGUACUUUUCGAUUUGCAGGCCAGCAUCAGUUUUUGGGGGUGGAAAAGGGUGGAGAGAAGGUAGCAACCUCGGUUGUGUUAUAGCUCUUUACUGGAUUCAUCUUUGGGGACUGAGGAUCGCAGUGCGCAAUUCAUUUUGCAAACCUUUCGAGGUUUCGUACUUAGGAUG